AUCAUUAGCAAUGUGGCUUGAUGUGAACAGGAUUUGGGAAGGACUGGUGAGAGCAGUGGUUACCAGGCCUGGAGCAAGGUUAGAAUUACUUGGGGAGGCAGAUUUCCAGGCUGCCCCUAGGUUCAUGGAGUGAAAUUCUUUGGCUCCAGGGGCCAGGAAAUAUGCUCAUAAGCUUCUUAGGUGACUCUGAUGUUCUUGGUCUACAGAUCAAGGUUCGAAGCCUCUGGCCUAGGGCAUGGGCUUUGGGAUGAGAUAUGCCUGCUUCAAAUCGUGGUUCUGUCGCUCGUUGCUAUGAAAGUUAUAUCAACUCUUUGAACCUCUGUAAAAUGAAGACAAAAACACCUACGUCAUGCAGAGGGGAACUUCAUAGCACAACACCUGAUCCAAAGGAGCACUGAAUAAGUCGUGGUUAUUGCUAUUGUUUACGCUUACUGGUACUUUAACGACUAGAGUUCCCACAGGUGCCAAGGCCCAUCCCGUUCCUGUGUUUCUUUGUUAAUCCAGGUUCAGGCUACUGAACAACUCUCCUGGGCCGUGUGUAUUUAGCAGUUUGGGCCACUCCAGAGACGGAUUUGCACUUACACCUCUACUGUCCACCUCCAGGGGCACAGAUUCUCAAUUUUAGAGCCCAGCCUGUGACCACAGGGAGAGAAUAAUGCUAACUCGCUCGCCCAUGAGCUGACCACAGCUUUAUUCAGUGCCUGAGCCCACGCAGCUGUGACUAAUCUUGAUGAAGGGCGUGGUAGCACUCAGUCUAUUCCACAGGUUACUGACGCUGAUGAUAUCAUAUUCUGGAGUAAAAGGCUUUACAUUUUUAGCCUACAAUUUUGAGUCCACAUUAUUUCGAUCAAAGCAAGAUCAGCCUGGAGAAAGGAAAGUAACAUCAACAUGGAGGAAGCACCAGCUCCACAGAGGAAAUGCAAAUCAGCGUGCAGUAAAUUUUAAUGAAAUGAUCAUCGUGAAUGAUUACAGACUCAAUGGAGAAAAGAAAACCCCAGAAACCUUUGUCUGUUCGUGCAGAAGCUUAGGGACAACCAUCUUUUAUAGUUUAAAUCUAUUCCUAGAUAUGCCACCUGUCUUCUUGCCACACUUUUAAAAAGUGUAUACAUUUUUCUCAAAAGUUGUUCU
rnacentral:lncRNA from 1 species